GAUGAACGCUGGCGGCGUGCCUAAUACAUGCAAGUCGAGCGAACGGACGAGAAGCUUGCUUCUCUGAUGUUAGCGGCGGACGGGUGAGUAACACGUGGAUAACCUACCUAUAAGACUGGGAUAACUUCGGGAAACCGGAGCUAAUACCGGAUAAUAUUUUGAACCGCAUGGUUCAAAAGUGAAAGACGGUCUUGCUGUCACUUAUAGAUGGAUCCGCGCUGCAUUAGCUAGUUGGUAAGGUAACGGCUUACCAAGGCAACGAUGCAUAGCCGACCUGAGAGGGUGGUCGGCCACACUGGAACUGAGACACGGUCCAGACUCCUACGGGAGGCAGCAGUAGGGAAUCUUCCGCAAUGGGCGAAAGCCUGACGGAGCAACGCCGCGUGAGUGAUGAAGGUCUUCGGAUCGUAAAACUCUGUUAUUAGGGAAGAACAUAUGUGUAAGUACCUGUGCACAUCUUGACGGUACCUAAUCAGAAAGCCACGGCUAACUACGUG
rnacentral:rRNA from 1 species